rnacentral:misc_RNA from 1 species
GAUGAAGAACGUAGUGAAAUGCGAUAAGUAGUGUGAAUUGCAGAAUUCAGUGAAUCAUCGAAUCUUUGAACGCACAUUGCGCCCCUUGGUAUUCCAUGGGGCAUGCCUGUUCGAGCGUCAUUUGUACCUUCAAGCUUUGCUUGGUGUUGGGUGUUUGUCUCGCCUUUGCGUGUAGACUCGCCUUAAAAUAAUUGGCAGCCGGCGUAUUGAUUUCGGAGCGCAGUACAUCUCGCGCUUUGCACUCAUAACGACAGCGUCCAAAAGUACAUUUUACACUCUUGACCUCGGAUCAGGUAGGGAUACCCGCUGAACUUAAGCAUAUCAAUAAGCGAGGA